GUCUUAUUGAAUUUAAAAUAAUAAGUUUGUUCUGCCCAUUGAAUUAAAUAUUUUAAAAGGCUGCAGUAAUUUAACUGUACAAAGGUAGCAUAAUCAAUAGUUUUUUAAUUGAAAACUUGAAUGAAAGAAUUGAUAAAAUAUUAGUUGUCUCAAAUUUAAAUAAUUGAAUUUAUAUUUAAAGUUAAAAUUCUUUAAUUAAUUUAUUAGACGAUAAGACCCUAAGAAUUUUAUAAUUUAUUUAUUAUUUAUUAAAUUAGUUUAAUUUAAAAUUUAUAAUUUAAUUAUUUUAUUGGGAGGGUAAUUAAAAAUUUAAACUUUAAUUAAAUUUAAACUUUGAUAAAUGAGUUUAAUGAUUAUUAUUAUAGUUAUUAGAAUAAAUUACCUUAGGGAUAACAGCGUAAUAAUUUUGGAAAGUUCAUAUUGAUAAAAUUUUUUGCGACCUCGAUGUUGAAUUAAAAUAAAAAUUAAAUGGAGAAGUUUAAGGUUUUAGUCUGUUCGACUAUUAAAAUUUUACAU
rnacentral:rRNA from 1 species